UCAAGCUUUAAAGGGCACAUAGUGGAUGCCUUGGUGCUAGAAGGCGAUGAAGGACGUGAUAAGCUGCGAUAAGCAUCGGUGAGCCGCAAACAGGCUUUGACCCGGUGAUUUCCGAAUGGGGUAACCUGGCUGGAUUAAUAUUCAGUCGUUCCUUUCUGAAUAAAAUAGGGAAGGAUACGCGAUACCCGGUGAAGUGAAACAUCUCAGUAACCGGAGGAAAAGAAAGAGAAAUCGAUUCCGUAAGUAGCGGCGAGCGAAAACGGAAGAGCCCAAACCGGGGGAUUUAUUCCCCGGGGUUGUAGGACCCCGCUGUGGGACCUGAGAAGAUAGGUGAAUGCUUUGGAAAGAGCAGACAUAGAGCGUGACAUCCGCGUAACCGAAAUCUUCGAAGGCCCUAGGGAGUUCCUGAGUAGCACGGGACACGAGAAACCCCGUGUGAAUCUGCGCAGACCACUGCGUAAGGCUAAAUACUAACUAGCGACCGAUAGUGAACCAGUACCGUGAGGGAAAGGUGAAAAGUACCCCUGUGAGGGGAGUGAAAUAGAACCUGAAACCAUGUGCCUACAAGGUGUAAGAGCAAGGACUUGUCCUUGUGAUUGCGUGCCUUUUGCUUAAUGAGUCUACGAGUUAGUGUCUGUGGCAAGCUUAAGUCCUUCUGGGACGCAGGCGUAGCGAAAGCGAGUCCGAAUAGGGCGAUCAUAGUUGCAGGCGCUAGACCCGAAGCGGAGGCGACCUACCCAUGGCCAGGUUGAAGCGUCAGUAAAAUGACGUGGAGGACCGAACCGAUGUGUGUUGAAAAACGCUCGGAUGAGCUGUGGGUCGGAGUGAAAGGCUAUUCAAGCCCCGUGAUAGCUGGUUCUCCUCGAAAUGCAUUUAGGUGCAGCGUUGCGUGUUGAUGAGUGGGGGUAGAGCACUGAAAGGGCUAGGGGGCAUACCCGCCUACCAACCCCUAUCAAACUCCGAAUACCAUUCAAUAGAGCGCAGCAGUGAGACAGUGGGGGAUAAGCUUCAUUGUCGAAAGGGAAACAGCCCAGAUCAGCAGCUAAGGUGCCAAAAUCAUGCUAAGUGGAAAGGAGGUGGGGUUUCUUAGACAGUGAGGAUGUUGGCUUAGAAGCAGCCACCAUUUAAAAAAUGCGUAAUAGCUUACUCAUCGAGAGACCCUGCGCCGAAAAUGAUUGGCGAUAAGCAUGAUACCGAAGCUCUGGAUGUCAGAGUCCUGCGGGACUCUGGCGUGGUAGAGGAGCAUUGUCAUCUGCAUUGAAGCGGGAAGGCGACUGACCGUGGAGUGAUGACAAGAGAGUAUGUAGACAUGAGUAACGAUAAGCCGGGUGAAAUCCCCGGCCGCCGUAAACCCAAGGUUUCCCGGGCAACGUUUUUCGUCCCGGGGUUAGUCGGGACCUAACCCGAGGCCGAUAGGCGUAGGGGAUGGUAAGCCGGUCAAUAUUCCGGCACCUGCAAAGUGGAUGGGGACGCUUUUUGAAUUGCAACCAGGUUAUUGAAUUCUGAGGGGAAGCUUCGGCUGAACCGUAUUGCAUGAAGAAGAGCCAAGAAAAGCCACCACGACUAAAAGCAGCCCGUACCGUAAACCGACACAGGUGGGUGGGUAGAGUAUACCAAGGCGCAAGAGUGAAACCUGGUCAAGGAACUCGGCAAAAUAGCCCCGUAACUUCGGGAGAAGGGGUGCCCCACUUCGGUGGGGCCGCAGUGAAAUGGGUCAACCGACUGUUUAGCAAAAACACAGCAUUGUGCUAAGACGCAAGUCGAUGUAUACGAUGUGACACGUGACCAAUGCCAAAAGAUUACGAUGAGAUGUUAGCUCUUUAGAGCGAAGCUUCGAGUCCAAGUCCUGGUGAAUGUCGGCCGUAACUAUAACGGUCCUAAGGUAGCGAAAUUCCUUGUCGGGUAAGUUCCGACCUGCACGAAUC
rnacentral:rRNA from 1 species